rnacentral:rRNA from 1 species
GAUGAACGCUGGCGGCGUGCCUAAUACAUGCAAGUCGAGCGAACAGACGAGGAGCUUGCUCCUCUGACGUUAGCGGCGGACGGGUGAGUAACCCGUGGAUAACCUACCUAUAAGACUGGGAUAACUUCGGGAAACCGGAGCUAAUACCGGAUAAUAUAUUGAACCGCAUGGUUCAAUAGUGAAAGACGGUUUUGCUGUCACUUAUAGAUGGAUCCGCGCCGCAUUAGCUAGUUGGUAAGGUAACGGCUUACCAAGGCGACGAUGCGUAGCCGACCUGAGAGGGUGAUCGGCCACAAUGGAACUGAGACACGGUCCAGACUCCGACGGGAGGCAGCAGUAGGGAAUCUUCCGCAAUGGGCGAAAGCCUGACGGAGCAACGCCGCGUGAGUGAUGAAGGUCUUCGGAUCGUAAAACUCUGUUAUUAGGGAAGAACAAAUGUGUAAGUAACUAUGCACGUCUUGACGGUACCUAAUCAGAAAGCCACGGCUAACUACGUG